GAGACGUUAGUAAAUCAAUUACAUAACCUUGUCAAGGCUAAAUCAUAGGUGAAAACCCUAUACAUCUCU
rnacentral:tRNA from 1 species